CACACAAAAAAAAACACAACAGGGAGAGGAGCAUGAGAGGGAAGGGAUAGGUAGUCCGCAAUGUUGUUUAGGUUGUUAGUACAGUAGGCUAUAUCCACUUUCAACUACAAUGCCAGAGAGCUUCUAUCCAAGCUCAAGCUUCUAAUGCUGAUCGGGGCCAUAUAUCCUGGGCCUGCUGGUCAAGACUGGUACCUCAAAAGGACUCCUGGCCAGCGAAGGGGGUUGUGCUGAUGUAUAGAUUUCAAAUUGAUUGUGCUGCUUUGGAGACAGCGAAUGUUUCUUAACUGAUGCCAUGGAUUAGAACCGGGAGUCUGGAGAAGUGAAUCCAGAGAGAUCACAGUCCUGCUGUGUAAUACACGAUCUAAGUGCACAAAAUGCUACCAAUGGAUCGACAGUGGACCACACAGAACCUCCAAUUGCUGAGAAUUCUGAAUUUCACCACCAGAACAUCAUAGUACCUUACUAACGGACAAGACAAAUGAAGCACAACAAUGGUCUGUGGCAAAAGAACAACCACAGCCCAUUUCCCCACAGUUGAUCACCUCAAAGCAUUGCCCACCAUACCAAAUGAGACCGCCACCCACUUCAAUAAGGA
rnacentral:lncRNA from 1 species